rnacentral:rRNA from 1 species
UACGUAGGGUGCGAGCGUUAAUCGGAAUUAUUGGGCGUAAAGAGCUUGUAGGCGGUUUGUCGCGUCUGCUGUGAAAUUUCGGGGCUCAACCCCGAACUUGCAGUGGGUACGGGCAGACUAGAGUGUGGUAGGGGAGACUGGAAUUCCUGGUGUAGCGGUGAAAUGCGCAGAUAUCAGGAGGAACACCGAUGGCGAAGGCAGGUCUCUGGGCCACUACUGACGCUGAGAAGCGAAAGCAUGGGGAGCGAACAGG